GGAUGAGCCCGCGGCCUAUAGGCGACGACGGGUAGCCGGCCUGAGAGGGUGACCGGCCACACUGGGACUGAGACACGGCCCAGACUCCUACGGGAGGCAGCAGUGGGGAAUAUUGCACAAUGGGCGCAAGCCUGAUGCAGCGACGCCGCGUGAGGGAUGACGGCCUUCGGGUUGUAAACCUCUUUCAGCAGGGAAGAAGCCUCUUGGGGUGACGGUACCUGCAAAAGAAGCACCGGCUAACUACGUGACAGCAGCCGCGGCCG
rnacentral:rRNA from 1 species